UAUAUCUACCGUCGCAUUUUUUCAUCGCUAGAUUGGUUCUCUCUCGGAGCCCUAACCCUAAUCUAAACCCGAUUGUUCGGGAUUGUGCAAUCAAACCUCGACCUUGCAUAUCUUGCAACAACUAUGGCAAGUGAUUCCAGUGAACGCACGCGUCGCAAGCACCACCGUUCGUCCUCAACCGACGAUGCGGAGGAGCGUUCCAAACGCCACAAGCACCGCCACCGCCACCGGCAUCGCCACCACCGGCACCGGAGCAGUAAAGAUAAAGAGGAAAUAGCAGGUGUUGCAACGGAGGAACUGGAAAGUGAAAAAAUUGAUGAAAUUGAGCUCGACGAAAGGAUAUUGGAAAAUAAUGGCGACGUGGACGGUGGUGCCUUGGGAGAAGCUUUGGUGGCUGGUGGAUCGGGUUCGCCGGGGAUGGAUUAUGAAAUGGAGGAAGGGGAGAUUGUGGAGGAGGGUGGCGUGGUUGAUUUUGCUAAUGAAGCUUCUGGGAAGUCUAAGAAGAAUCUGCCUUCGGAUGUUGAGUCCGGGGAAAUUGCGACGCAUACAUACGAGAAUUCUAGCAUGGAAAUUCACGGAGUGGAGGUAGAAAGACAUGAAAAAAGAUCGAGUAGAUUGGUAAAGGACCAGGUGGAUGGAAAAGAAAGUGGUGAGACAGAUAAGGAUGCAUUAGCCUAUCCCGAGGAUCUGGUAAAUGGGGAUUGCCCACAGGAUUUUCAUAAAGCUGACAGUAAGUUUCUUGAUGGGGAUAAUGAGAGGAAAAGUAUGUACGUCGAUGAAUUUGAGCAAAGAAAUCGGAAGAAGUCCUCAUCUUCUGAGAAAAAAAUGAAGGCUGUUUCAUCGUCCCACUCUCAUGAAAAACACAUAAAACACAGUUCCCAUAGUAAUUUAUCAAAAUCACCAGACAGGUCCAGGAGAAGGUCCCGAUCCCGAAGCAUCGCACGAGGGGCUUCUGUGGAGGGCUACAAGGACAGCAAACAUCACAGUGAAUCUGAUGAUGAAAGGGUGAAGGAGCGCUCGAAGCACUAUAGGCAAAGCAACAAAGAUAAUGUGAUUGAGAAAGAAAGGCCGCGUAGCUCUAGUAGAUACGCAGAGAGAAGAGAAAGGCAUUACAACAUUGAGACAAGGGAUUCAUACAGGGAGGGAAGUAGGGAGAGGCAAAGGGAUCGGGAUAGAAUUGAGGAGGAAAGAGAGAGGAAUAGACUUCAUGAUCGAGAUAGAGGGGAAAGGGAACAGGAGCUGAAAGGUAGGGCUAGACACAAGGAUGGGGAACUGGGGAGAGAAAGUUGGAGAGAGAAAGAAAGGGAGAAGAAAAGAGAGAGGGAUGUAGAGAAAGAUAGAAUAAGAGAGGAGAGACACAAGGACAGGGAGAGAGAUAAAGAAGGGGUUAGUUAUGGUGGAAGGCCUGGAAGCAAAGAUAAGGAUAGGUACCAUGGAAGUGACCGAAUGGGCAGACACAUGAGAUAUGGUAAGGAUGGUGAUGGUCGCAGAGAUAGUGAUGAUGAUUUUGGGCGCAGAAGGUAUUAUGAAAACGAUCACGAAGACAAACCAACACGAAGUGAAUUUGAAAAGUUGACCUCGAAUAACAAUCUCGAAAGAGAAGAUGACGGACAAGAGGACUAUCAAGAAAAAAUUGUUAUGCAACUUGCAGAACAGGAAGAAGAUGAGCUUGAGAAAAUUAAGGAGGAAAGCAGGAGACGCACACAAGCUAUUCUUGAAAAGUACAAGAAUCAACAAAAAAAUGAUUCACAAAAUAGGGUUGAAGAUCAAUUUAGAGAGUCUUCUGCACAAAUGGCAUCUGCUCAAGUUGUUGUAGAAAAACCUAUCAAUCGAUUGGAAGGCACAGAGAUUUAUGUUCCUGAGACAUCCUUUUCUGUGGGGAAAUCCCCAUUGCACAAUGGUCUUUCUGCUAUGCCCUCUGGAACUGGCGGACUAGGAGAGGGUUCCCCCAAGAGUGAGAGGCCACAAGAUAUGUUUUGUGAUGAUAUUUUUGGAGAAUCACCUGCUGGUGGCCAUAAAGUGGGAAAAGGUGAUGGUGUAGCUGUUGAGAAGAGUGGACUUAAUGACAACUGGGAUGAUGCAGAAGGUUACUAUGGUUACCGUUUUGGAGAAAUACUAGAUGGUCGGUAUGAAAUAAUUGCUGCCCACGGAAAAGGUGUAUUUUCUACUGUAGUUCGCGCAAGGGAUCUCAAGGCGAAACUGGGUGAUCCUGAGGAAGUGGCAAUUAAAAUCAUCCGCAAUAAUGAGACAAUGUACAAGGCCGGAAUGGAAGAAUUGGUCAUAUUAAAAAAGUUAGUUGGUACGGACCCUGAGAACAAGCGACACUGUGUUCGUUUUCUUUCUACCUUCAAAUAUCGGAAUCAUCUCUGUUUAGUUUUUGAAUCUCUUCAUAUGAAUUUACGAGAAGUUCUCAAGAAGUUUGGUCGUAAUAUUGGUUUGAAGCUUACUGCUGUGAGGGCAUAUGCCAAGCAACUCUUCAUAGCAUUGAAACAUCUGAAAAACUGCGGUGUUCUCCAUUGUGAUAUCAAACCAGAUAACAUGCUGGUGAAUGAAGCCAAAAAUGUUUUGAAGCUUUGUGACUUUGGCAAUGCCAUGUUUGCUGGUAAAAAUGAAAUCACCCCUUAUCUUGUCAGUCGUUUCUAUCGCUCCCCGGAGAUCAUUCUUGGCCUUCCAUAUGACCACCCCCUGGACAUUUGGUCAGUUGGGUGUUGUUUGUUCGAGCUUUACACAGGGAAGGUUCUGUUUCCGGGGGCUACCAACAAUGAUAUGCUUCGACUUCAAAUGGAACUGAAAGGUCCUUUCCCAAAGAAGAUGCUCCGGAAGGGAGCAUUUACAGAUCAGCACUUCGACCAGGAUCUAAAUUUUCUUGCAACAGAGGAGGACCCUGUGUCAAAGAAGACGAUAAGGAGACUGAUUAUAAAUAUCAAACCUAAGGAUUUCAGUUCUUUAAUUUCGGGCUCCCCUGGUGAGGAUCUGAAAAUGGUAGCUAAUUUUAAAGAUCUUAUGGAAAAAAUAUUUAUCUUGGAUCCAGACAAGAGGCUCACUGUUUCUCAGGCCUUGAGCCAUCCUUUCAUCACGGGCAAGUGAACCAUGAAGCUGAUUUCUGACUACAGAACUGCUGUUGCAUUAGAUACUUAUGCAUUUUGGUGUUGUCACAGUACUGCAUUAGCUAUCUGUCUUUGAAUUCUGAUUCUGAGCAAGGAUUCUGGAGACACUGAUCAGGAAGGCAAUUUACUUGGAGUUCAUUCCAUGGAUUGUUUUCUGUUUCUAUUGAAAUAUCUACCCGUGCUUUGAGGGAACCAUUCAAGAAACCAUGUAGAAGGUAAUUGGUUUGUUUAUUGGGAGUACACUUUUGCAGCGUUAAUUAUGUGUGCUAGAAUAUGUAUAGAAUAAUUUGUUAUUGUGUUAGUUUUUUCUUAAGGAAUAUUUGGUUUUUGAUGUUUCAUACUUAUUCUGCAGUUAAAUCUAAUUGGCUCAAUAGUCUCUUACCCUUUAAUAGUAUUAUGACUCUUGGGGUGUGUUUAUUUUGUAGAAUGAGAUUAUAAUCGAUAAUAUUAUUUUACUAGAUUAUAUAAUUAUAAGAUUAAUUAAUAUUAUGUUUAGUUUGAUUGAUUAAAUAUGUGAUUAGGUUGGAUAAUAUAACAUUAUCUAUUCUAAUUAUCCCCAGAAGUGUGAAUGUGCUAAAAAAACUCGGUAUGCGCUUCUUGCUGUCUGCAUUGAUUUCGGACAUUAUAUGUCAAUUUUGAAAAUCAUUGCUUAUGUUUACUUAUGUACGUAAUGAUGUAUGUCUGACCCAUGGUUUGGUUGUUCUGGAGGAUUUCCUAUCUGGUGAUGUUUGGAUGGUGCUGUGAAGUCCUGAAAUAUUCUGUUCUUAUCAAAGCAGCUCAAAUAUCUUGACAAUGCAUUCAGUCAUAAUCAAGAUAAUGAAAUUAUCCUGGAUGCAAAUGGUACAAAAAUUAGAGGUUUGUGGUGCAUAGAUGUUUAGAGUUCCCAUUUUUCAUGGAUAUUUUUUGAGGGCCGGCUUAUUUGUGCUUAGAUCAAUUUCUGAGCAUUUGUUGUUACUUAUGAGCAGACAAUUGAUUCUUGCAAAAAGCUUUCAAAUAUUUAGAAAGAUGGAAUAGUGUUCACAC